AUGAAACUAGGACGCCAGCAACCAGUUAAUAUAUACUACGCGGGGGGCUACUACGGCGAUGGAUAAUCUUAAACCCUAGGGCACGUUCGCUCUCUCUUCUUCCCCAUUUUCAGCUAUGUACCUAUACAGUCUGACGCUUCAACAGGCCACUGGCAUAGUUUGCGCCAUCAACGGUAACUUCUCCGGCGGAAAAUCCCAAGAAAUAGCUGUUGCUAGAGGCAAAGUUCUCGAUCUUCUGCGACCUGAUGAGAACGGUAAGAUUCAAACCCUUCUCUCUGUUGAAGUUUUUGGUGCCAUUAGGUCUUUAGCACAGUUUAGGUUAACUGGGUCUCAAAAGGACUACAUCGUUGUGGGGUCCGAUUCGGGUCGGAUUGUUAUUCUCGAAUACAACAAAGAAAAGAAUGUGUUUGAUAAAAUUCACCAGGAAACCUUUGGGAAAUCUGGUUGUCGCCGGAUAGUUCCAGGGCAGUACUUGGCAAUUGACCCAAAGGGUCGUGCCGUUAUGAUUGGAGCUUGCGAGAAGCAGAAGCUUGUUUAUGUGUUGAAUAGAGAUACAGCAGCGAGAUUGACUAUAUCAUCACCCUUAGAGGCGCAUAAGUCGCAUACGAUAGUGUAUUCUAUUACUGGGGUUGAUUGCGGUUUUGAUAAUCCAAUUUUUGCGGCGAUUGAGCUGGAUUACUCGGAGGCUGAUCAGGAUUCAACUGGGCAGGCAGCGAGUGAGGCCCAGAAGCACCUUAUAUUUUAUGAGCUUGAUCUUGGGCUUAAUCAUGUUUCUAGGAAAUGGUCCGAGCAGGUGGAUAAUGGUGCUAAUAUGCUUGUCACAGUUCCUGGUGGUGGGGAUGGUCCGAGUGGAGUGCUUGUGUGUGCAGAAAAUUUUGUUAUUUACAAGAAUCAAGGUCAUCCAGAUGUUCGGGCUGUGAUUCCGAGGCGGGCAGAUUUACCUGCUGAGCGUGGGGUUCUUAUUGUCUCAGCUGCCACACACAAGCAGAAGUCUAUGUUUUUCUUUCUUUUGCAGACGGAGUACGGUGAUAUCUUUAAGGUUACCUUGGAGCAUGAGAAUGACCGUGUUACAGAGUUGAAGAUAAAGUAUUUUGAUACUAUACCCGUCACAGCCUCUAUGUGUGUGUUAAAAACAGGUUUUUUGUUUGCAGCAUCAGAGUUUGGGAAUCAUGCAUUGUAUCAGUUCCAGGCAAUAGGGGUUGAUGUUGAUGUAGAGGCUUCAUCAGCUACAUUGAUGGAAACUGAAGAAGGUUUCCAGCCUGUGUUUUUUCAGCCCAGGGGACUUAAGAAUCUUGUUAGGAUUGAUCAAGUUGAAAGCUUGAUGCCAAUAAUGGACAUGAAAGUCGUAAAUCUCUUUGAGGAAGAAACUCCUCAGAUAUUUUCACUCUGUGGGCGGGGUCCUCGUUCAUCCCUACGGAUACUAAGACCAGGGUUGGCAAUCAGUGAGAUGGCGGUCUCACAGCUUCCUGGUAUCCCAAGUGCGGUUUGGACUGUGAAAAAGAAUGUUAGUGAUGAGUUUGAUGCAUAUAUUGUUGUUUCAUUUGCAAAUGCCACCCUUGUGCUUUCCAUUGGGGAGACAGUUGAAGAAGUUAGUGAUAGUGGGUUUCUUGAUACUACCCCGUCACUCGCUGUUUCUUUGAUAGGAGAUGAUUCUCUAAUGCAAGUUCACCCAAGUGGUAUUAGACAUAUCAGGGAAGAUGGACGUAUUAAUGAAUGGAGGACUCCUGGAAAGAGGACAAUUGUAAAGGUUGGUUCUAACAGACUCCAAGUGGUUAUUGCAUUGAGUGGAGGCGAGCUCAUAUAUUUUGAGGUGGACAUGACUGGUCAGUUGAUGGAGGUUGAGAAACAUGAAAUGUCUGGAGAUGUGGCUUGUUUGGACAUUGCCCCAGUUCCUGAAGGAAGACAGAGAUCCCGUUUCCUUGCAGUUGGGUCAUACGACAACACUGUUCGCAUCUUAUCUUUAGAUCCUGAUGACUGUAUGCAGAUUUUGAGUGUGCAAAGUGUGUCUUCACCCCCAGAAUCUCUCCUAUUUCUUGAAGUUCAAGCUUCUGUUGGUGGGGAAGAUGGUGCUGACCACCCUGCUAGUCUCUUUCUUAAUGCUGGUUUGCAGAAUGGAGUUCUUUUCAGAACAGUCGUGGAUAUGGUCACAGGUCAACUAUCUGAUGCUCGUUCUCGAUUCUUAGGAUUGAGAGCACCAAAGCUCUUCUCUGUUAUCGUAAGAGGUCGACGUGCAAUGCUUUGCUUGUCAAGCAGACCUUGGCUUGGUUAUAUUCACCAAGGACAUUUCUUGUUAACUCCCCUUUCAUAUGAGACACUUGAAUUUGCUGCUUCAUUUUCAUCUGAUCAAUGUUCAGAAGGUGUUGUUGCUGUUGCUGGGGAUGCGUUGAGAGUUUUUACUAUUGAAAGACUGGGAGAAACUUUUAAUGAAACUAUGAUUCCUUUAAGAUAUACCCCAAGAAAGUUUGUGCUUCAACCCAAGAGAAAAUUGGUGGUUAUUAUUGAAAGCGAUCAAGGAGCAUUUGCAGCAGAAGAGCGUGAAGCUGCUAGAAAGGAGUGUUUUGAAGCUGCUGGAAUGGGGGAGAAUGGAAAUGGAAAUGUGGAGCCGAUGGAAAAUGGUGGUGAUGAUGAAGAUAAGGAUGAUCCCCUCUCUGACGAGCAGUAUGGUUAUCCCAAGGCAGAGUCAGACAGGUGGGCUUCAUGCAUCCGAGUUCUUGACCCGAGAACUGCAAGCACAACAUGUUUGCUGGAGCUUCAAGAUAAUGAGGCUGCAUUCAGCAUAUGUACAGUGAAUUUCCACGACAAGGAGCAUGGAACUCUAUUGGCUGUUGGUACAGCCAAAGGGCUGCAGUUUUGGCCCAAAAGAACCAUUACUGCAGGAUUCAUACAUAUCUAUAGAUUUCUGGAAGAUGGGAAAUCCCUUGAACUCCUGCACAAAACACAAGUGGAAGGUGUUCCUCUAGCUUUGUGCCAAUUCCAGGGCAGAUUGCUUGCUGGAAUAGGAUCAGUGCUUAGAUUAUAUGAUUUGGGGAAGAGGCGACUUCUCAGAAAAUGUGAAAAUAAGUUGUUUCCCAACUCAAUUGUCUCUAUUCACACAUAUCGUGAUCGUAUUUAUGUGGGUGACAUUCAAGAGUCAUUCCAUUAUUGCAAGUAUAGACGCGAUGAAAACCAAUUGUACAUAUUUGCUGAUGACAGUUAUCCAAGAUGGCUUACUGCAUCAUACCACAUUGAUUUUGACACCAUGGCUGGUGCGGACAAGUUUGGGAAUUUCUAUUUUGUUCGAUUACCACAGGAUGUGUCAGAUGAGAUUGAAGAAGAUCCAACUGGUGGGAAGAUAAAGUGGGAGCAGGGGAAGCUGAAUGGAGCUCCCAACAAGGUAGAGGAAAUAGUACAGUUUCAUGUUGGUGACGUUGUCACAUGUUUGCAGAAAGCAUCUUUAAUACCAGGUGGUGGAGAGUGCAUCAUCUAUGGGACGGUGAUGGGGAGCUUGGGAGCACUGCUUCCAUUCACCUCCCGGGAUGAUGUUGACUUUUUUUCACACUUGGAGAUGCAUAUGAGGCAGGAGCACCCUCCAUUGUGUGGGAGAGAUCACAUGGCCUACAGAUCUGCUUAUUUUCCUGUUAAGGAUGUGAUUGAUGGAGACUUGUGUGAACAAUUCCCAACACUGCCUAUGGAUUUACAGAGAAAAAUUGCAGAUGAAUUGGAUAGAACUCCUGGCGAGAUUCUAAAGAAACUUGAAGAAGUUCGAAAUAAGAUAGUUUGAGAUGGACUCCAGAGGAACAAAGGGCUUCACACUGAAGAUGGCUACAUUAUUGUGUGCUAGAGGUAAUCCUUCAAAUUGAAAGCUGUCAAGAAGCAAUAUAUUGGCGAAGGUGGUGGUACUCACGGUGUUUAUUAUGGCAUUUGAUCAGACCUGAAUCAGUUUCAGUAACAAGGUGAAUGAAGCAUAUGCCUAGGUUUCUUACUCUGGUCUCAUUCCUAUUGUUGGAUUAAGCUAGCCUAACAAUGUGAAAAGCACACGCUGAGAUGUUCUUAUGCAGUUCUUGUCGUUCCUGUCCCUGUCCCACUCCCACCCUCUCCCUUCCUCCUUUUCCCCUCGCAUUUGUUUGUCCUUUGUUGUUGUAAUUAAAAGCAAUAGCAGAUUUUUGUUUUUUGUUUUGAAUUGGAGCUCUCUCUCUCUCUCUCUCUCUCAUUGAUUCCUAUGUUUACUAACCCAGACAUCAAGGCUAUGUCCCCCGAAGCCAAUAUAGCAGUGGGAGUGUGGAGUUUGAAGCUUUGGAUUUUUUGUUGUUCAUGUAAAUUCAAAGCAUUGAACUGGAUGCUUCAAAUGCAGUGUUGAAUGUGGUAUUGUGGAAUUUU